UCUCCUGACUAUGUCUAUUUGUCCAAAUUCUACUCUCUCAUUUCAUUUCUAUUUCCCCUCACCCCACACAACACAUACAUGACUCAAACCUCAUAAACAAUGCAUGAAAGUGCACACAUCUCACACAAAUACACAUAUCACAUAGUUUUCACAUACUACAGAAACACACACAUUUACCUCAUAAACAGAACACAUUAACAUAUUCACUCUCCACACACACGCACACCUCAAAGACACACAGAACACAGUAAAAUAUACACAUUUCACUCACACACUUCCAUAUAUACCUGUCACACCACACAUAUACGUACCUCACAGACACACAUAACACAUGCCACACACACUACACUCACAUAAAAACUCAUGCAUUUAACAUUCAUAUAUAUAAACACAAAUCACAUAUAAAUCUCACAUACAUGCAAUCAACUCACAGGGACACACAUGUAUGUUCACAUACAGGGAAGAAAAGUUGUGAAUGUGGUCCAUCAGGUUACAAGACAUUAGACUAUAUUCUCCAGGGAAGGACACAGACUGAGUUCUUGAGAGUCUUCUCAAAUAAGAAUUACAGAUGAAAAGAUACAAGCCCCAUCUGCUAUGCUUCUACUUAUUUUUCAAAAAGGCACAGCAUAAGAGAGGAUCUGAUAAAAAGGGCAUGGCCAGAAAGACUCUUCAGAUGUUUUCCAAGCAUCCUGUCUUCUUCAGCAUUCAACAUCCACAGAAACAGAACACGUUAAAGGUUCAGCCUUAGCCUUUCCUGGAAGUUUUCAAAUUAACCUAGUGAACCAAAACUAGGUCUGUUUACCAUGGCUAAAUAAUUAUAUCUGUACUAUGAUGAACUCUUAGAAAACUGUAACCUCAGGAACAAAAAAUAACUUAAUUUUUUGUGCCUCAGGUCCCUCACCUGAAUUGUAAAUGUUAAUAAUACCUACCUAAAAGUGUCUCCUGUUGUUUGCUGUACCAGCACUUACAUUGUACUAUCUAUGUGUUAUUCAAUGACACAAAAUUAGUGUAAACUGAUCAAAGAAAACAUUUUCAUGGUGUUUAGACUGAGGUACAUUCUAUUUGCCACCAUAUAUCUUUUAAUAACUCAUAUCUUAAUUUUUAAAACACCUACAAAGGAAAUUGUUAAAAUCCUUCCAUACAUAAGCAUCUAAAGUAGGAUUAUUAUUCUCCAAGGCAUAUCUGACAAAUUUAGAAAUUCCUAAAGAAUACUCAGCCAUAUUUCCACUUACAAGCACAUAACAUAGCAUGAUGAACACAAUUUGCUUUCUUCAGUGCCCUCAUAAGAGAAAGAUUUUUUACUUCUCCACUAAAGCUAUAAGUUAGAGAAAUAUCCAGUUUGUAAGAACAAAUGCUGUUAGAACCAUCUUGCAAUUGUGCUUAACUGAACAUUUCAUUUUCUUAUUUCCACUAAGACAAAGAAGGAUUUUACAUAGUGAAAAGAGAAACAAACUGUUGUUUUCGUUAUCCAUGGCUGCAUUCUCCUUGGCUUUCAAGAAAUGCUAGACAUGUCUUUCAAAUUGUAGUAAUUUUAAAAGCUGUACAUGAUGAUAAAAAAGAGGGUUACUCAUCAGAUUUGGGAAGGAAGAUGUUUUUUGAAAAUAUUGAGAUGGUUUUUAAAGGAUACUCAUCUGAAAUACAAUGAAUGCACCUGCUCAUUGCUCUUAUAACCAAAGCCAGUCAUUUGUGCAACUUAAAGAAGAGGCUCUUCUAUCUCACAUAACAAGACAUAUGAGGGGCCUUCAUGUUGUAUGUACAACUUUGAGUCACAUCAUACACCAAAGACUCUACCUCUUUCUCUACAUGUAGCCCAUGGCAUGCUAGUAAAGGUUAUGGUGAUAAAUUGGCUGUACAGGAAGAAAACAAUA